rnacentral:lncRNA from 1 species
UGGGUAAUGUAAGGUACCGAACCUCUAAAAUCAUGAGGUUACGGUGUCCAUUUGGUUGGAGAGCCAUUUGAAUGGAUCCGGUAAGGUUGCGGUGUAAUGUAAUAUACCGGAUUUAAAUAUAAAAAUAAAAAUACAUAAAAAUAGUAUGAGAUACUAUUUUUAUUGGAUUUGGAGAAGUGAAAUAUGAGUUAGAAAUGACUUGUGCUGAAAUCGGAAUGAAAACAGAAGAUUUAGAAUUUUCUGUGAGAGACGGGGCAGAUAAAUUAGCUGAAAAUGCACAGUCUCAGAAAAUUAUGAAAAUUGGAGGAUAAGUCAGAAAUAUUUUUAUGAGGCUAGAUUUGAGGUUUCAUAUUUUUCUGACACCCGUAGAGUGAGAAAUAAAAUUCGAAGGCUAUCUGAUAAAGAUUGCAGUUCGGCAUAGUUUUCAGUGACCAAACGGGGUCGAAACUGAAAACUUAAGAUAUAUUCUUACUCAGUACGUUAAACCGAGNNNNNNNNNNNNNNNNNNNNNNNNNNNNNNNNNNNNNNNNNNNNNNNNNNNNNNNNNNNNNNNNNNNNNNNNNNNNNNNNNNNNNNNNNNNNNNNNNNNNNNNNNNNNNNNNNNNNNNNNNNNNNNNNNNNNNNNNNNNNNNNNNNNNNNNNNNNNNNNNNNNNNNNNNNNNNNNNNNNNNNNNNNNNNNNNNNNNNNNNNNNNNNNNNNNNNNNNNNNNNNNNNNNNNNNNNNNNNNNNNNNNNNNNNNNNNNNNNNNNNNNNNNNNNNNNNNNNNNNNNNNNNNNNNNNNNNNNNNNNNNNNNNNNNNNNNNNNNNNNNNNNNNNNNNNNNNNNNNNNNNNNNNNNNNNNNNNNNNNNNNNNNNNNNNNNNNNNNNNNNNNNNNNNNNNNNNNNNNNNNNNNNNNNNNNNNNNNNNNNNNNNNNNNNNNNNNNNNNNNNNNNNNNNNNNNNNNNNNNNNNNNNNNNNNNNNNNNNNNNNNNNNNNNNNNNNNNNNNNNNNNNNNNNNNNNNNNNNNNNNNNNNNNNNNNNNNNNNNNNNNNNNNNNNNNNNNNNNNNNNNNNNNNNNNNNNNNNNNNNNNNNNNNNNNNNNNNNNNNNNNNNNNNNNNNNNNNNNNNNNNNNNNNNNNNNNNNNNNNNNNNNNNNNNNNNNNNNNNNNNNNNNNNNNNNNNNNNNNNNNNNNNNNNNNNNNNNNNNNNNNNNNNNNNNNNNNNNNNNNNNNNNNNNNNNNNNNNNNNNNNNNNNNNNNNNNNNNNNNNNNNNNNNNNNNNNNNNNNNNNNNNNNNNNNNNNNNNNNNNNNNNNNNNNNNNNNNNNNNNNNNNNNNNNNNNNNNNNNNNNNNNNNNNNNNNNNNNNNNNNNNNNNNNNNNNNNNNNNNNNNNNNNNNNNNNNNNNNNNNNNNNNNNNNNNNNNNNNNNNNNNNNNNNNNNNNNNNNNNNNNNNNNNNNNNNNNNNNNNNNNNNNNNNNNNNNNNNNNNNNNNNNNNNNNNNNNNNNNNNNNNNNNNNNNNNNNNNNNNNNNNNNNNNNNNNNNNNNNNNNNNNNNNNNNNNNNNNNNNNNNNNNNNNNNNNNNNNNNNNNNNNNNNNNNNNNNNNNNNNNNNNNNNNNNNNNNNNNNNNNNNNNNNNNNNNNNNNNNNNNNNNNNNNNNNNNNNNNNNNNNNNNNNNNNNNNNNNNNNNNNNNNNNNNNNNNNNNNNNNNNNNNNNNNNNNNNNNNNNNNNNNNNNNNNNNNNNNNNNNNNNNNNNNNNNNNNNNNNNNNNNNNNNNNNNNNNNNNNNNNNNNNNNNNNNNNNNNNNNNNNNNNNNNNNNNNNNNNNNNNNNNNNNNNNNNNNNNNNNNNNNNNNNNNNNNNNNNNNNNNNNNNNNNNNNNNNNNNNNNNNNNNNNNNNNNNNNNNNNNNNNNNNNNNNNNNNNNNNNNNNNNNNNNNNNNNNNNNNNNNNNNNNNNNNNNNNNNNNNNNNNNNNNNNNNNNNNNNNNNNNNNNNNNNNNNNNNNNNNNNNNNNNNNNNNNNNNNNNNNNNNNNNNNNNNNNNNNNNNNNNNNNNNNNNNNNNNNNNNNNNNNNNNNNNNNNNNNNNNNNNNNNNNNNNNNNNNNNNNNNNNNNNNNNNNNNNNNNNNNNNNNNNNNNNNNNNNNNNNNNNNNNNNNNNNNNNNNNNNNNNNNNNNNNNNNNNNNNNNNNNNNNNNNNNNNNNNNNNNNNNNNNNNNNNNNNNNNNNNNNNNNNNNNNNNNNNNNNNNNNNNNNNNNNNNNNNNNNNNNNNNNNNNNNNNNNNNNNNNNNNNNNNNNNNNAACUUGUUGUACACAAUCUCGUUGUUAGCCUUGGGCGGACAGGGGAGGUGCUGUCCGUCCGGCGUCUGUUCGAUGCGCCCGGGCCGAACCAAAUUGGUAGCGAUCUCGGGGCGUGACAGAUAAAGUGGUAUCAGAGCAAUUAAGAGCAAGUAAAGAGAGAGUUUAUGAUGGACCUAGGAGACCCUAGGACGGUGAACCCUAAGGUUAUAGGUGCGUGAGUGACGUGAACCUAUACGGUGGCGAUAGUUGGAUCGAUUGGGUCCAGUUGGUAAACCUCUAAGACGGAUGUUAGAGGUGGACUCAAGGUUUUGUUUAUUCUCACCCGAGGGUGUUCAUGUUGGAUGCAUACAACAUGAAACUGAGUGGUGAGAAUAGGCACCCUUGUAUGACUUUCGCCCGAUUGAGUCGCGUCGUCUAAUAGUUGCAACGAGGUUAGCAGGUUAGGGUUUAGUCGAGUCGUUGUGUUUCAGGAGCUAAUGGCAACAAGGAGACACUACGCGCGUAGAACCGUUCCGGCACCGCCUCCCGAGGUGCCUGAGCGAGCUGGGUCAAGUGAAGUGCAAGAAUUACGAGCGCAGAUGACUACGCUUAUCGGCAUGAUUCAACUCCAAGGAAGUCAGAUCGAGCGGCUCCAAGAGCUUUUGGAGUGACAAGUGGCGACGGCGGCCGUGACGACAACUGAAGGCCAAGGUCUGCCCGCGCCCUCGGGUCGCGCGCCUGAUGCGCCUGAGGGCGUGAGCAUUUUGGUGACUCCGGCGGUGGCGCAUCCCCUGCCGGUUAGUGUCCCUCUGGCGGCUUCGGGUCCUACGAUACUCGAUGCGGCAGCUGGGGAAGUGAGACAGGAACGCGAGGCGUUCAAGGAGAGUGGAGUGAAGAAAUGGUCUGGAGAACGGGUGGUGAGGAGGUGACAACCGGAGGGUUCGCCGCGGCCGCCAAGAGGCCGUGGAUAUGCGAACCGGGUUGUGAAACCUGCUGUUAUCGACGAUACCAUGGCAGGUAUGAGUUGAUUGAAGCAAGCAUAGGCUUCUAUAGAAUGUGAAGUUGGUGCAUGCAUGCAUAUGCCAUGUGGUCAUUCACUACCCUCGAUAUAUCAAUGUAGUAGGGACCAAAGGGAUGGGUAAGCAUAGAUACCCGGGCAUGCUUGCAUUGUGGGAGCGUAUCACCUGUUUGAGCAGGUAGAGAGAGCUGGAUAGCGCUAGCAGAUGCUGGUGAUGAUUGUGGGACGAGAAGUGAGACUCGUGGUAAAGACAAAAUGGUGAAGCGACUCUCAAGACAACGGGUAGUCGAUUGUGAGAAUUGCGCCAUGACCUUGAGGAUACCCGAGUAGUCGGAGUAUUCGGAUGCAGAUCCGGUAGGUUGAACAGUGGAAGGUAGAAUCACUGUCGAGGGAAUAGCCGGUUAGUUGCUGAGUACGAGCACAUGGGCCUAGUAGUACCUCAGUUUGAGGUUGGAAGUUGCGCUUGUUUGGUAGGCGCACAUAGGCAGGGUUACAUAAUGCUGGACAUACUGUGGGACGCUAUAGAGACGUACGACGUAAAGAGUGCUCGAGUAUAGAUACUCGUAGAGUGCGGAUUUGACUCAGCUGGGAGAGUGUGAUGGCAGUAGCACUUCAGCAUUGCUAGUGUGAAGCGGGCCAUAGAACACUCGUAAGGCUGGUGGCUCGCACUAGGUGCUUAGGAGCCGGUAAUGGUACGUGUAACUCAAUAGAGUAUGUCGUAUAAGACGACGACGGCGAGUAGUGCUUGGGGACGAUCCGUGCCUGGACCAUUUGUGGACUAUGUAGCCUGGGCCCAUUGGGCAGGCACAGUCAGCUGUGAGAGACAGCGGCCCAAUGUAGGGCAGAGUUUUGGUCAGGGCGGUAGUCCAAGCUGAGACUCGGGAGCGUGGAAUGACACACGCGGAUCAUGAGAUCGAGGAUACACCUAGUGGGUAGUGACCCAACCCAAGGAUUCGACGUGGUUUGGGGUCUUAGUUGCUCCUGGUUGGAGUGUGUGCGAAUUUCCAAGUNUCCGAAAGCUUCGGGAUGGCACCCCCCACCUUUAAUCGAUGUAGAGGCUUUGGAUAUUCUUCUCGGCGAACUUAACGAAAAGGCUUUAGCCUUCUUUGCCCAAAUCAACACUAAUCCGGCCCUAUUUUGCCGAGAACUUCACGCCGGCUCGCCGAAUGCCAAAACCGACUUCGCCCCCACGAUUUGUGACCUAACAAUAGGGUUUUCAAGGCUUCAAAUGAGAUCAAUCUCAUGCUUUCACAAAAACCCCAUUUUGGAGCCCUAGGUUUGCACCUAUAGCAAACCACCCAAUAAAUCCCUAGAACAAUGGGAUUGAUCUAUUUAGAAGCAUGCUUAGGGUCCAUUUGACCCAUUCCUAAGCAUCAAAAUCCAAAACUCCAAAAUUUAGAAGCUAGGGUUCAAGAGCCUACCUCUUGUGCUACACCAAAGAGAAGAGGAGAGGGAGAUGAAGGUGUCCAAGGCUUUCCUCUUGAUCUCCUUCUUUUUCUCCUUCUUGUUCUUCUCCUUCUUUUCCUUCCUCUCCUUCUUCUUUUUCUUCUUCUCCUUUCUUUUCUAGAGAGAGAGAGCAAGAGAGAAAGAGAGAGAGUGAAAUGAGAGAGUGUGAGAGAGAGAGAGGGCUCAGCCUACUCUAAUAAAGGCCAUUUUGCACCUAAACCCCUCAAUUUUCCAUCCAUUGCACAGCCCUUACUGGGCAGUUUUCGCACGGAGGGACCGGUCUCCCCGACUUGGGACCGGUCCCCGAGAGCUUCCCUCGGGCGCACACAUUCGGGAACCGGUCUCUCCCCGGGAGACCGGUCCUCACCUAAGAAACCGGUCCCCGAGAGCUAAAUUUUCAGGACUUAGCCAAAUUUCGGCAUUUCUCGCUGGAACCACGUUCGGGAACCGGUCCCUCCCUACCAGGGACCGGUUGCAUCAAGCAACCCCGCAACACCCAGCCAAGGGAACCGGUCUCUCACCUGCAGAGACCGGUCCCCGAGAGCAACAUCAGCCCACUGAUGCAGUCUGCCUCAUUUGCCCUCGCAGACUCAACUCCAAGGCACUUUUUGUGUUUUGGACAUCUCUAACUCCCACAAAGGGUAUACUCUCGACAAUUAGUCGAUCCUGGAUGAAGUACAAUCCUCGGAUUUCGAGAAUUCACUUCCUUACAAAGGGUACUCACACCUUAGCCAUAUUAGUCUCAUUUGUCAUUCUUUCUUAUGGUCACAUUACCUUAGCCAACUAUGCCACCCGACUCGUUCUUGAGUCAAUCAACUGCGGAUAGUCCGCGCUCUGUCAGGCUCGAGGUGAAGGAACUAUCACAUGCACCUCAGCCUUAAAUCCUCUCGACUGUAGGUCUGCCACGGAGUGAGGAAUGCCAUUGAACCCCGGACCACAAGUCUCUCGAGCUCUAGCUCAUGGCAUACCGGGCGAGGAGAACCAACAUACCCGUUGAAUCACUGUCGGGCGAGGAGAACCAACAUACCCACAAUUAUAAUUCUCGUUAGCCAUCUCUUUUACCGGGCGAGGAGAACCAACAUACCCGUUGAAUCACUGUCGGGCGAGGAGAACCAACAUACCCACAAUUAUAAUUCUCGUUAGCCAUCUCUUUUACCGGGUGAGGAGAACUAACAUACCCGUUGAAUCACUGUCGGGCGAGGAGAACCAACAUACCCACAGUUAUGCUUCACUUGCGCUCGAUCGCAAGUCUUUCCCGCCGCACUAGCAGCCUUCAUUCCUAGGGAUUCCUGUAGAACACUGGACCUGUGCAAAUUGCGAGGUUCGAGUGAUUGGAUGUAUUUUGAGCUUUUCCACACUUGGUGGAGGGUCGUAGAAUGUUUUCCGAUCUAAAAAGUUUGAAAACCUGAGUUCUGGACGAGUCCUGAGAGUUUUUACUCUCGGGGUGUAAGGUACCGGACUUCGAAAAUCAUGAGGUUACGGUGUACGUUCGAUUGGAAAGCCAUUUAAAUGGUUCCGGUGAGGCUGCGGUGGAAUGUAGCAUACCGGAUCUUUAAUAUAAAAGUGAAAAUAAAUAAAAAUAGUGUGAGAUACUAUUUUUAUUGGAUUUAGAGAAGUAAAACAUAAGUCAGAAGUGACUUGUGCUGAAAUCGGGAUGAAAACAGAAGAUCUAGAAUUUUCUGUUGGAAACGGGACAGAAAAAUUAACAGAAAUUGCACAGUCUCAGAAAAUUAUGAAAAUUGGAGGAUAAGUCAGAAAUAUUUUUAUGAGGCUAGAUUUAAGGUUUCAUAUUUUUCUGACACCCGUAGAGUGAGAAUAAAAUCCGACAGUCAUCUGAUAAAGAUUACAGUUCGGUACAGCUUUCGGUGACCAAACGGGGUCGAAACUGAAAUAUUAAAAUUUCUUUGGACUCUUUAAGUAAAACCGAAUAUGACUGUCAAAUUUGAGCUCAAACGGAUACUCUGAGAGCUCCGGCGAAAGAUAUCAGAUUUGGAGCUGCCUGAUGUGAAUAGUGUAUGCUACUAUUGAGGGUUGACUAUAAGUAGAAGCUACUAGGCUUCUCCCUCUCCAUCAGCCGACCACCAUCACCACUACCAUACGUUCAUGGUGAAGUGAGAGAAACUCUCCCUUUUCUCUCUCUAAAUAUCUCUCUCAUCUCUCUAUAUUUCUCGCCCAAAUUCGCGGCGUUGGUGGAGAUCGAGCUUGCGAACGCGUUGGAGGCGACGGAUUGAGCUUUCGUGCGCCCGUUGGAGCGACGUGUUUUCGUUGCGGCGUUCACAUUGGGGUAAGCUUUUGGGAUUUGGCUUAAUCCUUAGCUUUAAGAGUUCUAGUAGCCUCUAAUGAGCAUUCUUAGCAUGUUGCUCCAUUUAAUUUGGAUUAUUUGGGGGUAAUUGCAUGUUAGGGCUCAAAAAUGGGAUUUUUCAAUAUGUGAGGGUUUGAUCUAAUUUGACCCUUCGUAAACCUAAUUGCAAGGUAAACGAACGCGUUGGCGAAGUCGGUUCGGCGAUUCGUCGAGCCGGUGCAAAGUUAUUAAAGAAACGGACGUUUAGGCUUCGUUUCCGCCUGGAGGGCCGAGGCGACGUCGUAAAAUCCUGGAAACGGAUUUGAAGCAUCGUAAUAGGAAACCGAAGACCUUUAAUUUUCGGAUCGCGGAUCGGAGGUUGUUUGGUGGUCGCGCGCGCGGGUUGGGUCGAGCCAAGCGGCGUGCGCCGCAGGAGGCCGAUUGCGAGUGACGACGAGCAAUCGGAACGCGAUAAAAGGUGGGUGGUGUCCAUCCCGACGCAACCGGGCUCCCUUUUAUGUCUAAGUUUUAUAUUGAUCAAAUUGCAUAUUGACAUAUUGACAUCUUGCAUUAUAGGGUGAUAAAUGAUGGUUUGGUCCUAUACCUUGCAUGUUCUUUGGUAGAAUAAUGUAUUUGGCUUAAUACUUAUAUCUAGCAUGCUUGAGGUUUAUAUAUGUGAUGUGGAACCCUAUAAUGAGAUGAUAAGUGUGGAUGGGAAUUUAAUAAUGCAUUGGCUAUUGCAUUGGAAACUUGUAAAGAACGAGUGGCAUCUAGUUGAUAGUAAACAAAAGAACAAGAGGCAUAUGUGAGUCAUAGUGUAUAUGAAACCUAUGGACUCUAUGAUGGUUGUAACCCUAGAGGAUAGGGUAUUCUUGAGACGAGAAUUGGAUCAUGCUCACGGUCUGUUUUAAAUCUUGUGAUGGAAGCCCCACACAAGUAGUGCGCUCCGGAGUUGGUCACGUGGGAUCGCCUAUUUUGGGUCCCAAGGGAUUGCCUAUUAUGGCCCCGGCAGACGGUCUCGGUUCGUAGUGCGAGUUGACCCUCCCUACCUUCGAGAUGGCUAGUGAGCAGUAGGCUCCUUCAGGGAGGCCACGAGAUUAAGAAACAAGUAAAUGAGAUUGGUGAACGAGUAAAUAACUUUACCUUUGGACAUGAUAAUGGGAUUGUUGUUUAUCCAUUUCAUUGUACAUGCAUUCAUAUAUUUAUGAUUGGGCAUAGUAGCGUAGCUUUACUGCUGUCAUUUACCGCUUUCCUUAUCUAUCUAUCUAUCGAUUAUCUACUUGUGCCCAACUUGGACCUAGUGGGGAGAUCGGCGGAGUCGGCGGCCGAACCCACUGGGAACUAAGGAAGUUAGUUCUCACCCCCAUUUUACUACAGGGCCGAGCGCGAGUUCACACGGCGAGGAUCGUGGUAAGGGCCUAGCGCUCUAAUUGCAUUAGUUUACUUUCCUACUUCUGCAUUAGAGUUACCUUUAUAUACAUUGAGAGUAGAUGAUGUAUAGGUUGUGAGCUAUUUUGGGAUGAAUGUAAGUAGUGUUUAUAUUUUGGAAGAUGUAAGCUUUAUAAUAUGUUUAGAAGCUUAAUGUAUAAUCAAAUUGUAUUAUAAAGGCUGAAUGAAUGUAAUAGAUAGAUGUUCCUCUCUUUAUCAUUACUUGUAUGUUCUAUACUUGUAUCUUGCUCUUGGUUGUUUUGCACCGAUUGUGCUCUCGUUGUAAUUAUCGAUUGGGUAUGUAUUCAAGUUAUUUUCCUGGGAACUUGUUGUACACAAUCUCGUUGUUAGCCUUGGGCGGACAGGGGAGGUGCUGUCCGUCCGGCGUCUGUUCGACGCGCCCGGGCCGAGCCAAAUUGGUAGCGGUCGCGGGGCGUGACACGGGGACCGGUCCCUGGCUGGGAGAGACUGGUCCCCUCCCCCCCCCCCGGAACAGUAUUGCGGCAGCCUUGAGGCAACCGGUCCCUGGCGGGUGAGACCGGUCCCCGAGCGCGUCCACGCGGGGAGAGACCGGUCCCGUGCGGGGAGAGACCGGUUCCCGAACGUCGGAUUUUCGGGGCAGGCCGAGAGACCGGUCCCAUGUCGGGGAGACCGGUCCCUCAGUCCAAAAACUGCCCAGUCCGGACUGUUGCAAUAUUGGAAAAUUGAGGGGCCUCUUUGGAUUUUGUUGCAUUUGAUGGCCUAUAUGGCCAUUUCACCCUCUCCCUUUUCUCAUUUCUCUUUCUCUCAUUCUCCCAACACCCUAGAGAGAAGAAGGAGAAGAAGGAAGAGAAGAAGAAGAAGAAGGAGAAGAGGAGGAGGAGGAUCUAGCUUGCGGAUUUGGAGCAUUUUCCUCUCCUUCUCUUCCCACCUUGUUGGUGCUUGGAGGCUUGGUCUUGGAGCUUGCAAGAGAGGAGAUCUUCACCCUUGGAGCUUGGAUUGGAGCUUCUAAGGAGGUUAGUUGCUUAUUUCUUCCCUCUAGACCAUGUUUUGUUGGUUUUUAGGAGAUGAAACCCUAGAAUAAGGUUUUAGGGUUGAUUUUGGGCAUUUUGAUUUUAGGGCUUUUGGAGCUCAAUUUCUUGGAUUGGAACCUUCCUCUAGGUUCCAUUGGAAGGGUCCUAGCUUUCUUUUAGAGCUUGAGAGAGAUUUUCUACUCCUUAGGUGAGUUUUUGUCCCUUUACUUGUGGUGGUUAAUGUUUGAGCCUAGAGUUGCUCGUAAUGUUUGUUUAUCUCUUCGCUCCUUACUUUUAGGGUACUUAGAGACUUGUGGACAACUCCGUUCGGCGAAACGAAGGGUUUCGAAACGGUUCAGUGGGUUUGACCUAGCCUAGCAUAUGAGAAAUUCUCAUAUCCUAUGUUUUAUGCUUCGUAGAGUAAAAAUUCAUGCAUUUUCAUGAUAAAUGUAAUUAUUGUGAAUUUUAAGAUGCUUAACAUGCUUAUGUUAUGUGUGAUGAUUUUCGAACCUCUAUGUAGUAGAGAACUAGCAUGUGGAACUUGUACAUGACUGGCACCCUAUUGAGACUUGGAAUCAUAAUUUCUAUUGUGAAAAUGAGCAUUACUUGCAUGCAUUUAAAGCUAUUCCUACUUGAGACUUAAAGGAUCUUAGUAAGCCAUAAAGAGGCUCGGAGACUUGUAUUACUUGUCAAUAAUUGGGCUAAUGUCAUAAAGGGGCAUUGAGCUCGGGUUAAAUGAGAACCUAGUACUAAUGUCAUGAAUGGAACAUAGAUUAUGAAACGUGUUAACUUAUAACAAGCUUAAGUGCCAUAAAGCGGCACUUAGCAUAGUGAGUGUUGGAACAUCACUUUGAGACAUAGAACUGGAUUUUUGAGAUGCUAGUGACUUUUACCAUAUUAGAGACAUGAUGAUUGGGUAUUUGAGACGUUGACUACACUUGUUUGCCAUUUGUGCUCAUUCGUACAUGCUUGUGAGGGUCGCUCACUACAAGCCGGCACUCCGGAGUUGGCCUAUGCGACUUAUGUUCGAUCCCGCGGUAUCGAGAAACCUACGGGGUCGGGAGGGAUAGACUCAUUCCUAGAGUGGGAAUGCUGGAGCUACCACCGACACUUAGGUGGCACAAGCUGGACUACACUAUGUAGGUCCCAGAACAUGUUGGAAACAAUGACAUUGAACCGGGAAAUGACUAUCACUACUAGAUAGGCUUAGUAGUUUGAUUACCUUGACAUGCUUAUAGCAUAGUGUUGGAACUUGUAGUACACAUGAUAGUCUUAUUUGUUGUAUCAUAGUAUACUUUGCAACCAUGAUAGAGCAUAUUCAUCAUACAUUGAUAUAGUGGAUCAUGAUACCUACUUGCUCGUUAUGUUUAGAUAUACUAGUCAUGCUUGGACAUACUUCAUUUUGACAAAGUAGAUGUACAAUACAUUUGACAUCAUGUUUAUUUGCGACAUAGUAGUUUAGCAUUUUAAUCAUGCUUCCAUAAAUGCAAUCCAUUUAUUAUUAUUGUUGCUUUUUGGACUUACCAUUUUUUUUUGGGGCCUAGUGGUGCAUUGAGCUGAGGUCAGUAAUUGCCCACUGAAAACUAUAAAUUAUAGUUCUCACGCCCUCUUUUUCUUGAUGUUAUUUCAGAGCCUUCCACGCCGGGAGAAGUUAGGGACCGCGGAAAGAGUAUCGUCCCGAGCUAGCUUGCUUCUAGGGACGUGUUGAUAGGUGGUCUACCUCUCAUUGUUUUCUUUUUGGAAAGGUUGAGGGUUGUACCAGUGUAUUAGAGACCACCGUUUUGUGUACUUUUGAGAUGAUUAUUGUAUAAGAGACCACCGUUUUGUGUACUUUUGAGAUGAUUAUUGUAUAACUUUAUGUUUCCUCUUUAUUACUUAGUUGUUCCAUCUACUCAUAUCAUAGAUUAUAGUUGUGUAUUUGCUCUGAUAUCUCUCUAGUUGUAGAUCAUUUCUUGCUUUAUUUUCGCUGUUGUUGUAGACGCCUUAUAUAUGUAGACAUAUGGCGGGUCUGGGCGCGCUACCGGGAGGGCCUCUGCCGGUCCCGGCGCGUGACAGAUUAGUUUGGUAUCAGAGCCUAGGGUUGAGUCUUAGAGGACCUAGCAAACCUUAGGCCGGUUGGACUAUAGGAUAUAGGUUCGUGAGAGACGAGAUCUAUUUGACUCGUAAGCGAAAGUAUUUUAAUUGGGUUUUAUGAUAACUCUAAAAAGUUGGAGUUGGAUCGGAGUGUAUGGCUUCUAACUUUGCAGAGGGUUACGUUGGCGGCCGACAACGUAACAUCGGGAGUUAGUUGUAGAUAACACUUACUUACUUUUGCAUGAUUUGGGUAUUGUUAUUUGAGCGGGGAUUCGACAGCGGGGGUUACUAACUUACGCUUUUAUGAUAUUGUAGUGACGAUACCGAUUACGCGCUCUCAAUCUGUUGGAGCGGACGAUGCAGCACACCUCGAGGAGGUCGAAACCUCCGCGACUUCCGGAUCUAGCGAGGUCCACGACUUGAGGUCCCAGCUUGCGGUCCUCACUGACCUUGUAGCACAGCAGGCGGUGGCCGCUCAGCGACAGGCCGAAGUGGCACAGCGGCAGGAGGCACGGAUGAAGCACCUGGAGGAUCUCUUGCUAUAGCAGGCAGCAGCUUCUAGAGAGACUCAGGUUCCCACACCGCCAGCACCCGUAGUGGACGUCGUGCUGAGGGCGCAAUCCCCCGCACCCAGUUCUUCGCGUGCGGCACCUGCGACCGCACCUCGGGAGGAAGUGGUCGCAGCACCACCGGUUCAGAUACCUGCGGCGAGGGCAGCUUUCCCUGUGAUGGCCGAGGGAGCCGAGAGGGAUCGGCUCAUGGAUCGCCUCAGCGAGUUCAGGAGGUGCAGUCCGAGGAUCUUUGACGGCGAGAAGGUCGACCACUGGAUUGUUGAGAAGUGGUUGAUGCACAUGGAGAAGCUUUUUCGAGAUACCUAUGUUGAGGAAAGGGAUAGAGUUUGGCUCGCCACACAUCACUUGGAUGGCGAGGCCUAUUGUUGGUGGUUGGAUAUCCAGGACAACCCCAACACUGAUUUGGCAGCAAUUUCUUGGGCGAGGUUCAAGGAGCUUCUUCUGGCACACUACUUCCCUACCAGCUUCAAGAGGAAGAUGGAGCAGGACCUGCGCAUCUUGCGCCAGGAGGAGCGGACAGUGGCCGAGAACGAGAAAGAGUUUUCUCGGCUACUUCACUGUAUACCCUUCGUAGUGCGGGACGACGAGGACAAGACCCGCAUUUUUUAGCGUGGAUUGCGGCCUUCGAUCUUUCGGUUGGUGCCCUAGGUUUGCACCUAUAGCAAACCACCCAAUCAAAACCUUAGAUUCUAGCAUUAAUCUAUUUAGAAGCAUGCUAGAGGUCCAAUCGACCCAUUUCAAAAGCUCAAAGCCCAAAAAUCCUAAGUUCUACAAGCUAGGGUUUGUAGCUUACCUCUUGAGCUACACCAAUGGAAAGAGGAGAGGGAGAGGGAGAUGUUCAAAGCCUUCUCCUUGAUCUACUUCUUCUUCUCCACCUUCUUCUCCUUCUUCUUUUUUCUUUUUCUUCUUCUCCUCCUUCUCUUCUUCCUUUUCUUUCUUUUCUAGAGAGAGAGAGAGGGAGCAAGAGAGAGUGUGAGAAAAAGAAAGAAUGAGAGGCUGAGGGAGAAAGAGGGGGCCUACAUACCCCUCUAAUGUAACAAAAUCCAAUUUAGCCCCUCAACUUUUCAUCUCUUAACCUGCCUUCACUAGGCAGUUUUCGCCCAGAGGGACCAGUCCCUCGUCGGGGAGACCGGUCCCCGAGAGCAGUCCCCCCGGCCAGAAGGCCUCUUCGUGUACGGAAACCCGUCUCUCCCCGGGGAGACCGGUCCUCGGGAGACCGGUCCUCUCCUGAGAGACCGGUCCCCGAGAGCUCGAUUUUCAGGACUUAGCCAAAUUUCGCUCUGUCUCGCGGGUUUCACCUACGGGGACCGAUCCCCCAGCCCAGGGACUGGUUGCAUCAAGCAACCCCGCAACCCUCAGCUACGGGGACCGGUCCUCCCUUAUAGGGACCGGUCCCCGAGAGCAAAAACUGCUAAGUUCAGAUUUUUGCGUAUUUGCUCUCGCGGACAUGUUUCCAAUGCACUCUUUGUGUCUUGGACAUCUUUAGCUUUCCCGAAGGAUACUCACUCGACAAUUAGUCGAUCCUGGAUGAAGUGCAACUCUCGGAUUUCGAGAAUUCACUUCUUUACAGUCAUAUUGAGCUUGAUAGAAAUAUGCGCUAUGACACUCGGUAAGGGUCGCUCCCCUUCGAGUGCCGCUCCACUAGCUGGUUAGUGUUAGCAGAGACAGUAGCUUAUGUGUUGACGAGUGCUCCUGCGAGAUUGUGAUUCGGGCAAUAGGCAAGCGCAGGCUUGACCGAACAUAUGAGUCGAUCAUUGCGAUUGAGUACGAUUUCAGCAUUUAUUUAUUAGUAUUAGAAUUGAUGCAUGUAUUAGUCAUCUUUUCUCCUAUUCAUUGCAUGUGUAGAGGCAUGAUAGUUUAUUAGAUGUAUAUCAUUCAUAUUAUGCUUCGUUACUCGUCCUAGGGCAUUCCUUACUAUAUUUUUGUAUGUUUGCCUAUAGUAUACUGAGUGGGAAGGCCAUGGUUGUCACCGACCGUACUCACUGGAAACUACUAUUUAGUAGUUUUCACGCUCUCUUGUGGUUUACUUUUCAGAAAUAUUUGCACCAACGAUUGAUUGGGGUAAGGGGAUCGCACUGUAGAUAACAUCUCCUACCUAUGUACAUAAGCAAUAGAGAAGUACCCAGCUAGAUAACUUUUGAAUUAUGUACUGUAUUUUAGGACUGGUGAGGCAAUGACCUUUUAUUUGUCUUUUAUUUUGGAGUUGUGAUUAUAUGAUUUUAUGUACAGUGAUAUUUAGUUGAUAGUUCAGUUUUUAUCUUGCUCUGCUACUUGAUUGUUUAGUAGUGGACUCCUAGGACUCGUGUGUAUGCUAGUUGUAGCCUCCUAGGAUUGUACAGGUUUUGUUGGAUGCUUUUGUAUCUGCAAGAAACUUCUUGUACAUACGGCGGUCUGUUUACGUACCCUGGGGCUUCUGCUAUGGGCUCGGAGUAUGACAGCAAUUCUCUUUCUUUAUUUUUAGCAUCUCUCUUUUUUUCCAUUGUUCUUUUCUGUAGUACCCAUAAAAAUGUCACUACUUUAAUAGAGAAAGAGCAAAGUGCAAAGAAGAAUAUCCUCAUCUCUUGUUACGAAAUGACUAGACAACGAGUGAUGUUUUGGCAACACCAGAGGGUUCUUUGUCCACUAUUGUUGAUUAUUUAUUUCAGUCGGCAUAAUAGCAUUUCAUUUGGAUAUCAUUGAAGUAAAGAACCGUCAAAAUCUCGACUGAACAAUGGUUACAAUUCAGGAGUAGGACUUGUGUGCUAUUAGGAGCAUGGAGGCCUCUAUUCUUCUAAGCCAUUUUCGAUGAUGGGACUUUCUAAACGAUGAUUGGCUCUGUUAGACUUGAUUUAGCAUAUGUGUGUGAAGUAUUUAGGAAAUAAUUUUUGCGGAUUUUCAAUAUCAUUUACCUAGUGAUCGAAAUGAUUCAAAAUCAACUAUUUUUAAUAGUUGAUGUAUGCCGUUUGCAAGUUUAACGGAAUAGAAGUAUUCAACUCGGAUGAAAUUUUGAUAGAAAAUUUUUUAUACUAUCUACAACAAGAUCAAUAUAUUUGAUGAAAAUGUUAGUGCUACAUCAUAACUUUUUGUGAGAUUUUUAACCGUCAUUUUGAGUUCUUUCGAUCACUAAGUAAAUGAUAUCGAAAAAGCGCAAAAUUUAUUUUCUAGAUAGUUCAAAUAUACUAGAUCAAGUCUAUCGGAGCCGAUUGUCGAUUCAGAAAUUUCAUCAUCGAAAACGGCUUAGGAGCACAGAGGGUUCCGUGCUCCUAAUAGCACACAAGCCCUACUCUCAAUUCAGUAUCGGUGUGAAAAGCCCCAGCUAGCAUCAUUUCAUCAAUCUCUCCAUCUAUUUCCGCAGCUUGGAUUACAGCAAACAAAGAACAGUGUCAUACCAUCUUCGCUUCUUGUGGUAGCCUGCAUAUCCACACAACACAAGCUAAUUUACAAUGGGAACAUCUCAAAAACUAAAAAGGGUUUUGGUAUUAGGUAUAACUUUGCGCUAUUUGGAUUAUUAUUUAAGAAAGAAUUUUAUGGUUCUGCUAAAAAAUGUAAACUGUUUCUUCAAUGAAAUAGUUUGAUUGUUCAAGUGCAUUUAACAUAGAAUUUUUUCCGUGAAGUCUGUGGCAAUGUUCUCGGUGCAAUCCACAACUAGACAUAAUGUUUUCACCAGCACUUAGAAAUUUGAAUAUUGUCUGAUAGGCAUUAGAUUGAUGGGGACGGUUUCAAUAAUGUUUACUUGGUGAAUAAUGUUGUACAAAUUUUUCCUUUGAUUUCAGAUUCAUGCAUCAACUCAAUUUAUUUGCUCCUUUCUGUUUUUGUUGUUAGGUUUCAUCUAAGGAAGUUGCACCACAUUUUUCUUAGGGCAGAAAAUCGACUCUGAUGAGAUAUAUUUCCAAUCAAAAAUAGCUAGCACCAGUAGUUCAGUUGCCCCAAUUCCACUUUUCAAGAAAAGAUUCUAUUUUCCCCUAUUUUGUCCAAUACACGUGAUGUUAAAGUGACAUAAUAUGCCAAACUACGGCAAUUGGUAUAGCACUAAAAAAUUAGUCAAAUGAGACAAUUAAACAUGCAUGGCAUGGGGUAUGAUAUGAGAUAAAAUGGAAGGGAAGCAAAAUUUGACCUGGAAAAACACUGCUUCACCGUGGCCACACGUAGCACAUCUUACGGACUUAGUACGAGGAAGAGUAGGGUCACUUGCAACAUCCUCUAGCACUUGUGUGAACUCAUCGACAGAGUGAUCCACCACAUUUCUAUAGACGCAGUUGUUCUCAGCAACCUCCUAUACGCAGUAAGUUUCCUUUAAGAACAUGUGAAUAUCAUUCAUAAUAAUUGAGCGAAAAAAGUACUGAAUCAGUACAUAAUAUGUUAGGAUCUCUCAUUCUUAACAGCAACUUUGAUAUUGAUAGAUAAAUUUAACGUCUCUGUUGGACGCCUCUUCGCUCCAAGAGAAAGAGAGAUCUCGUCUCAUAACUUAGUCUACUGCAAGUCAUUAAGAACAACUCAUUUUUAUCUCGUAAUAAAAUUGAUCAUUAUUACAAAUGCGGAAAGCCUCUUACUUGUAGGUUUAGAAUCAAUAAGACUUGCAAGAAAAAGAUAAAUCGAAAGAUAUUCCUAAUCUGGUAGAUGUCUCAAAUAAAAUAUAUUUCCUAAUCUAAUAAGUAAAAGAAUCCUAAUUUAAUAAGAAAAUAACUACAAAUCUGGGUCGGAUUAGAUUUCGUGAGUCUAUAUGAGUGAGUUUAUAUGGCUUAGAAAUGAUCAGCGGAACUUGCAAUCACAUUGGGUUAUCUGGUGGUAACGGUGGCAUAAUCGGAAUGAGUAGCAAUGGGAAUAACGGGAAAACAGUUUGUGAUGGCAAUGACGAAACUAAAACGGUUGUGGGCUCAACCGAAGUGACAGAGUGUGGCGUGGCGAUGGCUGGUGGUUAGCGCCGGAGCUUUGAAUUUUGUUUGUUGAUCAAUAGUCAGUGAAGCAGUUGGAUCAGCGCUAUGACGAAUUUUGGACCAUUUAUCAGCCAAGUGGGAUUUAUCCAGGUUGGUUUGUGAUCGUGUUUUCAAUGCAAAUUAUAAUGUAUUGAAUUUCACUAUAAUACAUCAAACCUUGCCAAAUAGGCAAAGCGAGGAUAAAGAUCGUGUUGGACAUGAUUAGAAUAAAGUUAGAAAGACUUUGGAGGUGUUACAGUUAGAGUUGGUUUGGGGUAAAGCAGAGUGCAAACAGAAGUUUGGGGUAAACUUCAGAAAACUACUCGGAAGUUUCAUUUUCUGGAAAAUAGAUUUAGCUUCUGGAAAAUGGCUAGAAGACUGAUUGGAGAACAUUCAGUUUCUAAGGAAACUGGGGGCAGUUUCUGAGGAAAUUAGCGGCAGUUUCUAAAAAAAACUAAACAGAAUUUUUUUCAGAAAAUGGGAGUGAAACGGUUUAUGUAGCUUUUGGUUUCUGAGGAAAAUAAGUUUCUGAGGAAAAUAACAAUAUUUUUCUGAAAAACCAGUCAUUUUCCGGAAACCACGAGUAUGUUAUGAAAGAUGCAUAGUUUCGCGUUGAAGUUAUUAUCCUUGUAAUUUUUUAUUUUUGGAGGAUUUUUUUGCAACUGUGGGAGCUUUUAAAACACCCCUACAAUCAUUUUCUCCUUCACUUCCCCUCCAACAAGUGAAACUUCUCUUUCUCUUAUUAAACCCCAUCUCUUUCUCUCUAGCAAAGCCCCCCCACUUCCAGGGAGAUUUUGGGAAGAUUGGGUUGAAGUCCACUAGGUAGUGAGGCAAGCUUCUUGGACAAGAAGGAGCUUGUGGGACAAGUUGCUAAGGUGAGUUCUUUGUGAUUUCUUGUUAGGGUUUGGGAUAAACAUAAAUGAGAUAAGGUUUUGGGAAACUCUCCAUCGAAUACACUAAAUGGUUUGAGAGUUUACUAAAUUGAUGGAGAGUUUCCUUGGGAAAAUAAAAACCUAGGUCGAAAAUUGGGGGUUUUGUACUUUGGGUAUUUCAAAGCAAAUUUACUCUUGAAAACUUUAAUUGAAGGUAGAUUGGCACGGGGAACAAUAAAAAUCUACCUUACGAUGAGGUUGCAGUCUCCAAUUGCAAGAUUAUGCCCAUUUUGAAGGUUCUUGGUCAAAUUGGUCUUGGAGUUUGACGAAUUACUGACAAUUAUUCAAUUGCCUGGUUUUCCUAGCGAUUAACAACGAAUCGAGGUGGGUGGUGCCUUCCGAAGUGGUUGGAUUCCUCUAGCUCUGUCAAAUUGCUCUAGUGAUUAUUUUUCCAUACCCUUGAGAGAUUAUGUUCACAUGCAUAAGUCGAGAAUGUCACUUGUUUUACUUGGCAACCUUUGCAUAUAACUAGUAGCAGCAGCUAGUUUUCCAUGGAGAUAGCGGAUUUAUAAUGGAAUACUAUAUUUUGACAUAGUUGUCACAUUGAUAUUGUGAUCAUACAUGAACUUGGACAUCAAGUCCAGGUAGAAAACAAUGACAAUGCAUAUUAAGCAAAGUACAAUAGUACAUGUAGCAUGUCUUAUAUUGUCGUAGUUGCAUUUCUUUUGAGAUAGGCAUGCUAGGGAUUGGUAGAUCUCAGGAUAUUGCCAUGAUAAAGUAGUGGGUCCUCUUGUAUAAGUGAAUAUGAUCAUGCUCACCAAGUCUGUCAAAGCUUGUGGUGGUCGCGAUUCCAUAAGCUGUGUUCUUUGGAGGUGUCACGUUAAUAAGGGUGAUAGGACAGUUGUGAUUCUCCUUGGGUGCUAGGGUGUGGAAGAGACUCUCCAACAGAUGGCUAAGGUGGGUGCUAGUAGCGAUUCGCCACAAGGCUUAGAGGCACGACUAGGGCUCAACCCCAUGGUUGGCCAGUAUGAUUGGAUCAAGAAACAAAGAGACAGGUUCAACAUAUUGGGUACUUGGUAAUUUCUUAAAGGCAUAGAAGUAGGUUUUAUUAUUCUUGUUUAUAGAUUCUUGUAGUUAUUUACUACUUUGUUCAUUAUCUAUUUACUACUAAUGCGUUGAUUAGACCUACCACAAUGGUCAAUGGUUGAACCUACUGGAAACUUUCUUAUAGUUCUCACCCUUUUGUUUUACAGAUCCAGCCAAGACUGAAGUGGCACAGGACAAAGGCAAGAGCAUCACUCUAUAGAUAGCAAGGUCACCUAGAUGAACCUUGCAAGAUAAACCCAAUGGUCGUAUUUUUGGAAGCACUGUAUAGUUAGCUCAUUUUGGGAAAUGGAUUCGAAUGCGGUAGACAUAUAUUUGUACCUACUUUCAUUUUGGCGAAAAGGAUUGAUAUAAUUUAUUGAUGCUUGGAGUGGAGAUACAUGAAAAGUUUUGAGUGAACAAAUUGUGAUAAUCAUAUUCAUUCUCAUGCUUAUGUGAUGCUCACCGUAUGCAAUUCUUGUAUGUGUUGUUCCUAUGCGGAAUGCAACGUACAUGUUUUGUAAACGCUUCGUGCAGUCGGGAGAAGACUAUGUACGCUCGGCGGGUCUGAGCACGUCUCGGAGGACCUCCGCUGUGGGGCCCUAGGCGUGACACAAAUGAUAAGGCAUUUUCUUUUGGUCAAAAAACUUGCUUUGAAAGUUUUGAAUUUUUGCAUCAUCUACAAUAUAGAAGCUUGUAAGGCUUGAAACUGUUGAUUUUUUCGUUGUUCCAUGGCCUUCAAUUAGUUAAUUAUUUUCUUUCCCCACACAUUACCGAUACUACUUCCUCUCUGCCUUAUUUAUUGACGGAAUUACAGAUUUUCCAAAUUUUUUUAAAUGCCAUGUGCAAAAUUUUAAAUAAAAUUGAUUAAAAUUAAUUAGUAAUGGGUUAGGAAAACUUAGCUUUACUCCGGCUUGAAUUGAGUCAAAACAAUGAUGCGGCUUGGAUUAGAUUGUAUCAGUCUAGGUUUUUUAUGAUGUGGAGAAGGUCGAACCUGGUGGGAUAACGUGUGUUUGAUAGAAACCUUAAUCCCAAAUCACACGAGAACGCGAAGGAUAAGAAGAAAUCUUCGGCUUCGGACUUUAUGAAGGCUUUAAUACCAAAUUGUCAGGAUCCCUUGCUCCUAACUGUAGUUUUGAUUUCGAUAGAUAAAUUUAACGUUGCUAUCCGAUGCCUCUCCACUUUAAGAGGAAGAGGUAUCUCCUCUUCUAACCUAGUUUAAGUCAGAAGCCAUUACGGGGAACCAUUAAGUAGUAACUCAUUUUUUUAUUAGUUAUUAAUAAAGUUAAUUGAUCGUAAGUUGCAAAAGAGGAGAACCGCUUAUUUAUAGGUCUCAAAUUAUUAUAGUAACCUUAAUAUAAUGAAGAAACUAACAAGAAUAUGAUAGAUCAAAAGAUAUUCCUAGUCUAGUAGAUAUACUAAAUAAAGCAUCUUUCCUAUACUAAUCAGUAAAGUAAUCCUAAUCUAAUAAUAAAAAAAGAUUACAAAUUUGUGAGUGAGUCAGAUUAGGAUCCGUGAAUGAUCAUAGCACAAUAUGCUGAUCUAUUUUGUAUUCGGAAGAAAUAGUAUUAUUUGCUAUUGAUCAUAUACUAAUAUACAUGAGUAGUCCGUCAUUAUCUUGUUGCAGAUGUCCCCAAUUGAUAUGUUAAGUAGCAUCUCGUUUCUGCCAAAGCUAAAAAUGUAUUCAAGUUCUUUCAACGAAGCUAUAAAAUAUCUAAAAGAAUUAUGAUCUUUACUGAUCUUAUGGGGCUCUGCAUUUCUCGUUAUAUCCCAGAAUCUGAUGUUUUUAGGUAAGAGUACGAAGAACAAGAGAAGGAUAGAAUGUCCGGCAGUGACCAUUGACGUACUCUGGAUAAAACCAUGGUUAAUUGAUUCGACAUUUGCAGAAGGUAAAAAACUUCAUUCUUUUUCUUUGUUCCCCCGUUUUUCACUUUGGCAGUUUUAGCUUAGAGUGGAAAAGAGAGAAAGUGGAAUGAAACUCUCAUGAAAUAAAUUUCAGUCCAACAAAUCACAUGGAAAUUGAAAGAACGAAGAGUAAUACAAUGCACAAUGUAAAAUAAAUCGAAUGCACAAUGCAAAGAAAAGAAAUUUAUGGAAGGAUUUAAUGAACGGGAGCUCACCACAUAUCCAGGUUUGAAAUCUAAACGGAAAUAUGGGAAGGUGCAGAACCUGAUGAUCGCAAUUGCGGCAAGCAUAAAGGAGGUCCUUCUGUUCUCUGUCCUCCUUCGGAUACAGUAUGUUGUUGCUGCCCAUACCCGAAUGAGAAGCCAAAAAAGAAAAAGGAUAAUACCAAGUAAGAAUAGACAGAAGAAAAUGAAUCGUUAGACCAUGUUAUUUCACUCUCUGCAGUGCAUAGCAGCGUGUACAUAAAUAGUUAGAAUCUUACCAUUCUCUGCAAAAUUUCAUAGUACUCAUGGUUGCUUCUUUUCAGCUUUCCUACAGGAAUUUAAUGAAGCCUUAUUGCUUUCUCAGCUGAUCUUCUGAUCUCUUAUUAGUACUGGUGUAUAUGGGUCGAACUCUCUAUCUAUAGACAAAGGUGUAGCUCUCUGUCUCUCUCUCCUUCUCUCUUUCUCUAGAAGGUGGGAAAUAUUAGUAGGAGAACUCUCUGUGGAACUGUGUGGGGACAUACGAAAAUGACGGAUGCUUCUAGCAUAUAUUACUUAAUAAGGGACUGCUUAUUUUGACAAUUUAAAUAAUCUGUAAUUUCUUCAGCAGAAAUCAAAGAUUUUGAUAUCGAGGCUGAAAAGUGAAAGCUCCUGUAGAGAAAUACUGUUGGAAGGAACUCAAUAUAUACAGUGCUUAUGCUAACAGCAAUGGUGCGUUGUCAACCAAGAUUGCAUUCUAUAGCAAGGCCAAAGAGGACGGUCCUGCAGUCCCUCUUUUGCCGAGUUUAUCUCGCUGUGUUGUUUUGAUUUCUUGAAGCCCGUUCGAGAUUGACUAGUAAGAUACUGACAAGUAAGAUCAUCAAAAUAAAGUAAGAUCAUCAAAAUAGCUAUUUUGGUGUAUGAAAAAAAAUAUAUUUACUGCUGAAAGUCACCACCAAAUAGUUCUGGAUCGAUUAAGAAAUUGAAUAAAUGUGGAAAUCAUUCUACAAGAGAUCACCAUAAUGCCGAUUCAUAUAUUUUAUUUUUCAGAGAAUAAAAAUAGCAGGAAACUAUCCCCAGUAUGCAGAUUCAAUAUUUUUAUAUUUUAUUUUUUUAUUUGAGUACUUAUUUUAGUUUGAAAUUAAGUCUUGUUAAAUUUAAUAACUAUUAAUUGCAUUAGUUUUAUUUGCUAACAACUAAUUCAAAUUAUUUAAGUUUGAUGGAAUCACAAAUGACUGUAAUAAAAUUUUCAAGUUAUUUGGCCGAUUGUCCAAUUCGGACAUCGUAAGGUAUCGUUUGAUUCGAGAAUAAGGUAUUCCGGGGAAAGGUAUAAAUUGAGGUAUAAGCGGGGAUUAGAUCAAUUUUGCGAUUGGAUGAAAAUUGGGUUAUUUCUGGAAAUAAGAAAAAUAGAGUUUGGUUAUGUAAGAUGGAAUAAGAAUUAAAGUGGGUAGUUAUAAAUAAAAAAUAUUAUUAUUAUUAUUUUCUUUAUAUUAGAAUUAGAAUUUUUAUAUUUUAUAUUUAUAUUUUGAAAUUUAAAAUAUAAACUUUUAAAUUUUCAAAAUCAAAAUUAAAAUUUAAAAUUUUAAAAUCUCAAAUUUAUAAUUUUUAAAAAAUUAAUUUAUCAUGAAUAUUAUUAGCUAAUCAUAAAUGUUAAUUAAUACAUUAAUUACCAGAUUAAUUAAUCAUUAAUUAAUUAACCAUGAGUANAAUCAUAAAUGUUAAUUAAUACAUUAAUUACCAGAUUAAUUAAUCAUUAAUCAAUUAACCAUGAGUACUGUUAAUUAAUAAAUUAUCUAACUAUAAAUAAUUUAAUAAGUUAACAAAUUAGGCUAAUAAAUUAAUAUAUUAGUAAAUUAAUUAAUUAAUUAAUUAAUUAAUUAGUUAUGUUGGUAAAAAUAUUAAUUUAUUAAUCAAUAAAGAUAUUAGUUAUUGCAUAAACACACUAAUAAAUAAUUAUUAAUUUAGCUAAUAUUUUAUUAUUAAAUUAGUUAAUUUUUAAUUUAGCUAAUUAGUUAAUAAAAUAAUAUAUAUAAUAUAUUAAUUAAUAAUAUUUUAUUAUUAAACUAGUAGAGAUAUAAAGAGAAAAAUUUGUUAUUCCACCAAAAGGGUGGAACAACAAAUCCUCCUCUUAACGGGUUAUUCUAGAAUAAUCCGUUAAGAGGGGGAUUAAAUAAACUCACUCCCUCUUAUAGUGUUUGGAUGAAUUAGAGGGAUAAAGUGGUCUAUUCCCACUUUAUCCUCAACCAAACAAUGCCUAAAAGAAUAAAGUUGAAAGGGCCCUUUCGACAUGGCCUAUAGUCGAGGGGUCUCCAUACAUUUUAGCCAAAUUAUAUUUAUAUUUUUAUUUUUGAAUAAUUUUUGUCAGCUAAACUGGAUGUUUUAUUAACAUUUUAUCAACUUUUAUGGUUUUAAUCACUUUUCACUAAAUAAAAAAAAUUAAUGGCUACUAGUUAAUACACAUAUUAAAUUAAAUAAAAUUUUCAACUUGACUAACUGGAAUAACGGCUAGUAGUUGGAGGAUUUUUUUUGGGAUUUUAUUACAUUCCUACUGCGAGCCGAUUUCUUUGACUGCUGGCUCGAUCAAAACCCUCCUUUGGGAAGCCCGCGAGGAGACGGAGCGGCUACGAAUGAUGACUCUCGAAACUUUUCGCUCACUAUCGAAUCAAGCGAUUCAGCUCAAAAUUGCUGUGAGUUGAUUUCUUUGACCGUUGAUUCGGUCAAAACCCUCCUUCGGGAAGCACGCGAAGAGGUGGAGUGACUACGAAUGAUGACCCUUGAAAUUUGCACCCACUGUCGAAUCAAGCGAUUCGGUCGAUGAGGUAUCGGAUCAGUCGAGUUCAAUCCCACACAGUAAGUUCGGUUCAGCUGGAUCAGUCGAGUCAAGGUAAUAGUACAGUACUUUUUGUUCAGCUGAAGAGUCGGAAAGUCUAUAUAUUGCUCAAAAUCAGAAAAUGAGCGUGUGUCGCUAUGGCAUGCGAUCUCAAAGGAAAAUUUGAUCUACAGACUACUCCUAGGAAAUGCAGUAAAUGUAGAAAAGUAAAAGGGUUGCAGGUAGACUACUACUAGAAAGUAAGAAGAAAUGCAGAGAAAAAUAGAAAUUGGUCUCUCGUUCACAGGGAAAAAAGAUCUCUACCAGGUGUCCUCUGUUUAUUUAUAGCUUCGCUUGUUGCUUAUUCAGUUAUUCUCUACUAUCGGUGUAGCACAUUGAAAUUUUGCAAACUUCAGAGUUCAAGUGAGAGAAUAGUGCUUUUUACUAUUUUGAAGGAUAUGACUGGGUUUGGAGAGCUUAGGAGUGUUUUUGAGGCUUUAUAAGCGCGAAAACGGACUCUGGAGAUCAAAUUCUGCAAAACUGCUUUAUUUGUGUUGAGUACCAGUACUGGACUUGAGGUACUGGAACCCAGUUGAGUGUUGGUUUGGGCCGCUCUCGGGUUUUACGGAACUCGGCUCUGUGUACUGGUACUGAGCCGAGUACCGGUACUGCAUUGGGCGAUUUCCCAACGUUCGGGUUUUGCAGUACUAGACCCCUGGUACCGGAACGGACUGCCGAGUACCGGUACUCCAAAUUGUGUAUCGGUACUAAAUGUUGCAGAAACUGUUUCGUGCAGAAUGCAAUUUUUGACUUUUGGAGAGGCUUUUGGGGUAUUGUUAUAACUAGUAUAACAUACCCCACACUCUCUCAUUCUCUUUUGUUGGUUGAGGAUGGAGAGGGAGAAGAAGUGGGUUUACUUCUCUUUUCCUUUGGAUUUUUUUUUCAUUACCUUUCAAUCUUUGGGUUUAAUGUAACAUACUGAAUCCCCGACGAGUUGUACCGAAAAAUUGACCGAAGUGUGGUAGUGGACGGGGUGGUGAGGUUCAUUAAUUAUUCCGAGAGCUUCGGAAUACAUUGCAUGUGUGGUUUGGACCAUGGAGAGCAAUCUAGCAAAAUUCCAGCUCUUUUCGUGCUAGAAAUGCUCUCAGGGUCCGGACCUUCAGUGCAAGGUCUGGACCCCGUACGCGAAAAAUGCCAAGGUUGGUCAGCCUUUGUCGUGUGAGGGGGCUAGGUGCAAUUGUGCAAGUGGGAAGUGUUUAUAUGUGGGUUCUCAUGUGUUUAACCCUCAUUUCCCUCACACUACCAACAAAAGAGAAAAGCUCUUUCUCACUCUAAGAUUCUCCACUCUCUCUCCCUUUCUCCCCUUCUCUCACUAGGGUUUUGUCACACCCUGGACUUCAGCGGAAGCUCACCAGUUACAUGCACAAACCCGCCGUGUACACCACAACCUCAAGUGUACACCAGGCGUCUACAAACAACAUAGCAAAAGUAUAAUAUUCUAGCAAGGUAAUCAGAGGAAAAACUUAAAAGUUUAUAAGCUUAUACAAAUACGAAACCUUAAUACAGAUUAGAAGCAAAGUACAAAGUACAUUCUACAUAGUCCCACUAUACAACACUGAACUCAACUAGAAAAGCUAGUAUGGUUUCAUCUAUUUAAUAUCGAGAAAGCUCUAACUAGCCGCUAACCCCUCGCUAGGAACCAUAGUCUUUCCCGCUGUGGAGGGCUCUGCACACAAACAACCAACAACAGGGCGUGAAAACUAUUAAACAAUAGUUCCCAGUGGGUAAGUCGCCGAGAGUGGCGAAGUACUGUUAAGGAUUUUCUAGGUUGACGAAUUUCGUAAAGUCGAAUAGAGUCUUGAAGAGUUAAAAGCGAAGUUUUUGGAAAGAAGAUUCAAUUUGAAGAUCAAAGACUCAUUCGGGAAGUUCGGCAGCUCAGGUAUGCAAGAUAGAUCAUUUGUGGUGAAUCUAAAUGUUCAAAAUGUAUUUAGAAGACAUAGAUUGUAUUAAUGUUUUUAAAAUAAUUAAAUCUGAACUUAUCAGGAGUUCAGGGACCGGUCCCUGAUCAGAAGGACCGGUUCCCGGAGGUCCUCGCUGCAUAAUAAAGCAAUGCAACCGGUCCCUGAGAUGAGAGACUGGUUCCCGUAGCUUGUGUUUUCAGCUACGCAACGAGGGACCGGUCCCCGAGAUGAGAGACCGGUUCCCGUAGGUUAUGUUUUCAGCUACGCAACGAGGGAUCGGUCUCCAACUGAGAGGACCGGUCCCCCAAGGAUCGGUCUCCUCGAGAGGACCGGACCCUGAGGACGUCGUCAGUUUUUAAAAUUGUGUUUUUGCAAUUCUAGUCUACUUCUAAGUCUUCUGAAUCUAUAAAUAAACUAUGAGGGUUACAUUAUGCUGUAUGCUUAGAGUUUAGACCAUUUUGAAACCCUAGAAACUUGUUUUUCGAGCUUUAUGAUUCUAUUCUUAACGCAAGUUUCGAAUUGUUGUUCGUCGACUUGAUUCUUAGAUUUUAAUUUGAAUGUUCCUUUGAGAAUCAAGUUGAUGAUUGACUAAAAGGGAAUUCCUUAGAGCUUAUGGUUUUCUAAAUUUCAAUCACCACAAAUUAUCAUCUCUACGAGCUCCAGAUGGAGGAUUUGCGUAAGGAUUCCGUGUGAAGGCCGUGGAUUCGGUGGGCGUUUCGUGGAGUCGAGGCGUGUUUGCUGCAAGAACUUGCGGCAUGAUCGGUUGGAGGAUUCCAAGUGAUCGAAGACCGGCGAAGACAAUCUACAAUGAGAAUUCGGUAAAUUAAGUCGUGUAUUUUCGUUAAAUCACUUGUACUCAAGUUUUCUUAGUGGAUUUGUUCGUGUGAUCGGUCCCGUGGGUUUUUCUCUCCGGAUUGGAGUUUUCCCACAUUAAAUCUCGGUGUGUUGAUUUUAUUUUCCGCAUUCUCUUUUAAUUUGCAUCGAGUUUAUUUGUUUUUGCCGUUUACACCUAUUCACACCCCCCUCUAGGUGUUAUUUACCUUUUAGAUCCUUGGGAUCCAUAUCUUUCAAGUGGUAUCAGAGCGGGUAUAGGUUGUAAACUAUGGCCGAGGACGGUAAUAUUAAUCGACCCCCACUCUUUGACGGCACUAAUUACGCUUAUUGGAAAGUUCGCAUGAGAGCGUUUCUUAUUGCCAUUGACGAGCGGGUUUGGUAAUCAAUUGAAUUCGGAUGGAAACAUCUUACCGAAGUUGUCGAUAAUGUUAGCGGUCCCAAACCUAGAAAUAAAUGGACGAAAGAGGAAAAUGAACUAUCUUCGUUCAACGGGAAAUGUAUCAAUGCUUUAUUCAAUGCUUUAAAUCAAACCGAAUUUUCUCGUGUCUCGGCGUGUGAAACCGCCAAAGAUAUUUGGGACACUUUACAAAUUACACAUGAGGGUACAAGCUUAGUAAAGGUUCAAAAGUUACAAAUGUUGACUAGUAGAUUUGAUUCUAUUCACAUGGAAGAACAUAAAACCUUUACCGAGUAUUAUACUCAUUUGCAAGGUAUUAUCAACACAUGUGCUAAUUUGGGAGAGAAGAUUCCGGACUCUAAAAUUGUUAGAAAAAUUUUGAGAACCCUUUCCGAACGAUUUCGUCCUAAGGUUGCGGCCAUAGAAACGGUAAAACAUCCGGAUGAAUUAAAAGUAGAAGAAUUAGUUGGUGCACUUCAAACUUAUGAGAUGACUUUUCCUUCUAAUUCAUCUUCUUCCAAGUUGUCUUCUAAAGCUUCAGGUAUGGCACUAAAAUCAACGAAAGGAGGCAACGUGGAAUCUUAUUUAUCGGAUUCGGACUCAGACGUAACCUUGGAAGAGUUUGAGAAGCAAAUGGCUCUUUUGACGAAGAAGUUUCGUCGGAACUUUAUGUCACGCCCCGGGACCCAGCGGAAGCCCGCCCGGCACGUGCCCAGAUCCGACAUACGUCUAAAACAUAUAAGGCAUCUAGAAAUAACAGUAAUAAAAGCAAUAAUAAGAGGCAUCUAGGAGUAUCAGAGCAUAAUAAAUGUCUAAAUGCUACAACCAGGGAUAAGGAUAAAGCUGUAAAUCCACUAAAUAAAACAUAAAGUAAAUACAAUAGAAAAUCCCAAAUACAAGUGCUAAAAGUAGGUACAUAGGUGGUCUCUACACAUGGAUACAAAAUCUCUCACUCUCCCAACUACAAAAAGAAAGAGCAAACCACCUAGGCAAAGAACCGCUCCUCGCUAGCUAGCUAAGCGAUCCCCUUGCCGCGAUCCCGUGCCUCCGCCGGUGCCGAAGGCUCUGAAAAGUAAACCAUGAAACAGGGGCGUGAGAACGAUUAAAAAUAGUUCCCAGUGGGCAAUUACUGACUUCAGUGAAUGCUCCACAAGGCCCAAAGCUACAGAAGAGGUCAGUGACUAACAAUGUAGUAAAGCGAAAGGUAAGUAAAAUGUAACUCACUAUAACAUAGAAUUGCUACUUAGCAUGAUUUGCACAAGUAAUGAAGCAACUAUAUCAUGAAUAUAACUGGAUGUGUAUGACAUGCAUAAGCAUAGAAAUGCAACCAAUCCGAUGUCCUCAAUGCAAAAAUAGUAAAGAUGCCAUUGUUUACUAUUUUAGUUCAAGUCCGCUUUAAUAGUUUCAAAGUCCACAUAGCAUGUUCUGUCACUAAGUCCCAAUCCUAUAGGACCCACCCGAAGGCUGUCUGGCCUGCGCCGUGCCUAAUGGCUCCGUGGUAGUCAACAUCCCCACUCUAGGGAUGAGCCUCCCCCACGGCGAUCCACUUCGGCGUCCAAUCCCGCACGGGCGAGCAAAUGUCGCGAUGGCUAUCUCCGGAGUGCCGGCUUGUAGGGAGCGACCCUCACAAGCAUGUGCGAAUGAGCACAAUGGCAUGCAAGCGAAUAAGUCCGUCUCAGGUCCCAAUGGUUCAUCACUGUUUCAUCGGAUCUAAAACCCGGAAUACAGCACAUGUCCCCAAAGGCCUGCUACUAUAUCGUCAUGUCUCUAACAUGGGAAGCAGCUAAUGUCAUCGUGGCCAAGUCACUAUUUCAUCAUAUCUAAAAUAUGGAAUAUAGUCGAUAUCAAAAUGGCCUAUCAUCAAGUCUCUAUAUUGUAGUUUAACAAUUUCUAGUCCAAGUGCCUCUUCAUGACACUAUGGCUCAUUAUGUCCCAACAUGGAUACUAAGUUCAAGAACUUGUAAUUCUAGUCAUAUUCGAAGCAAGAACAUGAUUUCAUAUCAUCUCACAGGAUGUUCGCCGCAUGCAUAUUAACAAAGCAUAUAUGCCUCUCUAUUAUAUGGAGUAAAUUUUCUUAUGCAUAACAUAUGAGUCUUAAGCAUUCAACAAUUCCCAUAAAUACUAUUAAACAUGAAUAUGCAUGAAUUUAUAGUAAAUGAAAGCAUUUAACCACAUAGGAGGAAUUUCCUCUCAUUUCAAGAAGCCAAACCCACCGAUUCCUCGAACUCCUUGUUUCGCCGAACGAAGGUGUCCACUAGCCUCCUAGUACCCUAAGGAUGUAGGAACAAGUGUCAAACAAGGCUCACGAACAAAGCUAAGCUCAAACAUUAAGCUUCUCUAGCUAGGUUGGAGAAAACUCACCGAACGCUAAGGAAUCCCCCACGAACUCCAAAAGGGAGUUAGAUUCCUUCAGAUCCAACCUAAAUCAAAGUCCUAAACCAAUCAAUUUGGUUCUAGAAGCUACAAAUCAAAAAUUCCCAUUUUUAACCCUAAUAUGCCAAAUCUAGGGUUUGAUCUAGUAGAAGCUACCAAAACUUAGUCCAAAGAAAAGAUUAGGCUUACUAACCUCACAAAAAGCUCAAAAUCAAGCUCCAAGUUCCCUAGGGUUGAAGGUUGAUCUCCAAAGAAGCUCCAACCAAGAUCUCAAGCUUCUCCAAUGGUGGAAAACCCACAAAAGCAAGAAAGAGAGGAGAAAAGAGAUCAAAACCCACAAAAAAAACCAUCAAAAAUGGAGAAGAAUUCAAAGGGGAGGAGUUCUCACCUGUUCUCCACUGGUCUAGGGCUCAAAAGAGCUCACAAAGGGGCUGGGGUGUGCUUAAAUAGAGGUUGCAAUAAUUACAAAAACACCCCCCACGAAACAGCCCAGAAUCUGUAUUGUGUACCGGUACACGGGAAAGUGUACCGGUACACCUCCUGCGAAACUGCCCAACCCGAGCCUCGGAUUGGCAGAAAAUCUAUUGUGUACCGGUACAACCAUCAAGGGCGUACCGGUACAAAUUCUGUACCGGUACAACCAUCAAGGCUGUACCGGUAUACAGCCUAGCUGAGGCUAAUCCGAGAGUACUCCAACAAUCCAACCUUUUGGGAUUUUGGUACAGGUUUAAACCCUCAAUUCUCGGGAUGCGAGCCAUAGGUCGGAACACUGUUUACGACCCUUCAGAAAGUCUGAAAUAGCUCGGCACACAGAUCAAACACUCGAAACUCGCAAUUUACAGAGGUCCAGUGUGCUACACUUUAGAAAGAAGUUUCCUUUCAAGUAAACUUCCUCCAAGCCAAACAAAUCAAAAGGGAGUUCCUCUUCUUCUUCGAAGUUUAAAAAAUCAGAAAAUUUUCAAAAAGACUCUACAAAAGAGAAGAAAAGUAGUGAAGGUCAAAUCCAAUGCUAUAAGUGUAGGGGAUUUGGUCAUAUUGCAUCGGAUUGUCCAAAUAAAAAAUCUUUGAAAAAGAAAGUGAUGCAAGCCAUUACUUGGGAUGAUUCUUCUUCUGACGAGUCAUCUUCAAGUGAUGAGGACGUUAAUGCCACGGCACUUAUUGCACAUGAUUCUACUUUUGUGUGUUUAGCAUCCACUGACUCUAUUUUUAUGUCUCCUUUGCAUGAAAAAUCUACGUCGGAGAACUCAUCGGAUGAAGAAUCGGAUGAAGAUGAUAUGGCCGCCACAUAUCAUCAUCUUGUUGUUGAAUCAAAGAAGAUGGCAAAACACAACAAGAAAUUGUGGCGUAGAUUGUAUGAUCUGGAUCAAGAUAAUACAAGAUUAGAGUCGUUGACAAAAAGUCUUGAGCAAGAAAAAGAUGGUUUGACGAAGGCAUACAAUUCUUUACUUGAUAAGUGUGCAUUGCUUGAAAAGGAAAAGGAGUCUCAUGUUGAAAAUAUCAAUUUCCUUACCAAGCAAUACACGGAAGCUAGAGAAUCCAAUAUGGAAUUCACCAAGACGAUUAUUCAACUCAAAUCGGAUUUAAAUCAAUUCUCGUUUGGCUCUAGCAAACUUGACAAGAUGUUCGGACUUGGUCAAACCAACAAAUUCGGACUUGAAUACGAAUGGACGUAUGUCGAUCAAGUGAUGAAGAAAAUAGACGAACAUCUAACGAAACCGGCACCUAUGGUGUAUGGCAAGUUUGUCUCUCCUAAGAAUUCUUUUGCUAACAAAACUUGUCAUCUUUAUGGUGUUGUAGGACAUAUAAAAAGAUUUUGCGAACAAAAGCCGAAAAGUACCGCAACAUCAUUGAAUCGGAGGACACCAUGGAAGCCUAAGAAGGAUGAUCCGAAAUUAAAGACGAAACAAACGUGGAAGCCUAAGAAGGAUGAUAUUACACAAAUCGUCGACAAGCAAUGCGUGUCUCAAUCAAGUCGGCCGAUGCAUUCCAAAACACGUAAAGUUUGGGUGCGCAAAGGUGAACUCUUUCCUUGCCUUGUCAUCCACACUUCGCUUCAUGCUUACAAUAAUACUUCUUGGUAUCUAGAUAGUGGUUGUUCAUGUCACAUGAUCGGCGAUAAAAAUUGGUUUACUUAUUUAAAUAAAAUCUCUAGAGUACUUAUUGUUUUUGGAGACGGUCGGUCAUCAAAAAUUAUUAGAAAAGGAACAGUCGCUAUGUCACGCCCCGGGACCCGGCAUAGGCCCACCCGGUGCGUGCCCAGACCCACCAUAUGCCUGCACAUAUAAGGCGUCUACAACAAUAGAAGUAUGAAAGUAAGGAAGAGUAAGACAACUAUAGACAUCAGAGCAACUAGCAGCUACAUACUAAUAACAAAUAGAGAACAGUAAAUUGAUCCACUAAUAAAACAUAAGGUAAGUACAACAUCCGUCUCAAAAUACAAAAUGGGUGGUCUCUAUACAUGGUACAACUCUCAACCUCUCCAAAAAGAAACCAAUGAGAGGUAGACCACCUAUCGAUAUGAUCCUCGCAAAAGAGCUAGCUCAAGGCAAUGCCCUUUCCGUGGUCCCUAGCCUUGCCCGGUGUGGAAGGCUCUGAAAGGAAACAAGAAAUAGGGGGCGUGAGAACUAUAAUUUAUAGUUCCCAGUGGGCAAUUACUGACCUCAGCACAUUGCGCCACUAGGCCCAAAGAGUACGAUAGAUAUGAUAAACAACUGGAAUUAAACUGCAGAUAUGAAAGCAUGUAUUGAAUGCUAAAAUAAACUAUUAUGUUAUAAGCAAUAUGAUGGCAAUGUGUAGUACACAGAUUCUAUCAUGCUCAAAUAUGUACAACACAAAACUAGUGUGAUCCCACAUGGCAAGCAAAUAUUCUAGAGUGCAAAGAGCGCUAUAAUCAAGUAUACUAUAAGUCCAAACCUAUGCUAUAAGCAUGUCCAAGAAACCCAACUACUAUAAUCUAUUUAGUAGUGAUUUUUACUUAUGCGACUCCAUGUCGAUUUCCAUUUCUCAUUAAGGACCUACCCAAGGUAGUCCGGCUUGUGCCGCCUAAGUGCCUGUGGUAGCCCAACAUUCCCACUCGAGGAACGAGUCUGUCCCACCCGACCGCGUAGGCUUCUCAAUACCGCACGAGCGAACAUAAGUCGCAUAGGCUAACUCCGGAGUGCCGGCUUGUAGGGAGCGACCCUCACAAGCAUGUGCGAAUGAGCACAAAUGGCAAGCAAGCGUAGUCAUCGUCUCAAAUGUCCAAUCAUCAUGUCUCUAACAUGGUAAUAGUUACUAGCAAACCCAUCGGUCUAGUCCAAUGUCCAACGUGAAGGUUUAACCGUUCAAUUAUGUCCAAUGCCCCUUUAUGGCAUUACAUCUCACUAUGCCCAAAUCUCGGUACAACACUAAUGCCAGUUCACGACAUUAGGUUUACUAAGUCCACACAUAUUCCAAGCCUAAUGCCCUUUUAUGACAUUAGCUUACUAAUUCACAAACCACUCUAGUCUAAUGCCCCUUUAUGACAUUAUCUACUAGGUUCACAUAUAGCCUAAGCUCAAUGUCUCUUUAUGACAUUAGCUUACUACGUGUUAAGUCGUGUGUGUUGGCAAGUUUCGUGAAGUGAGUCGAAGUCUUGAAGAAUCGGUGCGUGUUGUCGAAGAUCGAAGAAUUCAAGAUUUCGAAGAAGUUGGAAAAUAACUCACACCGUGAAUCACGAUGUCCAGGUAAAGUGUUAAUUCAUGAUCAUGGUGAUUCAUACUUAGUUGUAGACAUUAGAAUCAUAAUAUCAUUGUCUAACGGAUUAGAAAGUGCAUUGGAACUUUGCAAAACCCGAAACGGCGAAAUUUUGCAAAGUGUACCGGUACAGCAUCAGAAGUGUACCGGUACAAAAUGUGUACCGGUACGACCAUCAAGGGUGUAACCGGUUUCACUGUUUCGUCUGAUUUUCGUUCCGUCAUCGUGUAACCGGUGACAGCCUAAAGUGUACCGGUACACAGUGUAAAAUCGUGAAAACUUUCUAAUCCGACUCCAAUUGAUUCUAAAGUCUAUAAAUAAGCUAUUGGACUUCUCUAACACAUCAAGCAUCAUAAGAAUACAUGUUUGAGAAACCCUAGAGGCUCGGAUUUCAUCUUAAACCUAUUUUCUACAAAAAACCUUUUUUAGAUCAAAUCGAGAUAUUGAAAUUUGAUAUUAAUAUGUCGAUUUGAUCUCCGCUUCGCUUGGAGUUCUAUUCCCUGGUUUUCUACGAUACUCCUAAGCGAAGGAUCACCAUACACAUGAUGCUCUUCAUGAACGGCGUCGUGGAUUCGGCAUGAACGAAGACGGUUCGUGGAUUCGGAUCGUGAGCUCGUGGAUUCGAGUGGGCGUCGUGGAUUCGACGUUAUCGAGGCUUCGUGGAUUCGAAGUGGUGACGUUUCGUGGAUUCGGGACGUGGCGUUCGUGGAUUCGGACGUGGGGCGUGGACAACCCGUUGGUGUGCGCGAGAUCUGGAGAAGAUAGAAGAGAGGUUUGAGUCCGUGGAUUCGGUAAAUCACCUUGUAAUCUUUUAUUCUUAGUGGAUUGUUAUCGCGUGUUGGUCCCGUUGGUUUUUUACUCCGAGUUUGGAGUUUUUCCACGUAAAUCUCGGUGUGCUUUUUAUUUUCCGCAUUUAUUUUUAUUGCAUCGAGAUUUGUGGUUUUUUGGCCUUUCACCUAUUCACCCCCCUCUAGGUGAUAGAUACAAUCUAGAUAGAUCCUUGGGCUCCUCAAAACUUUCAAUUGGUAUGAGAGCGGGAUCUAGAUAAAUUGCUAUCUAAUGGCUGAUAAAGAAAAUGACGAGAAUCUUGCUUUGUUUACUAACACUUCUUUGCCUUCGUCUAAUGUUGUUUGCUUAUCUUCUAUUAUUUCUAAUUCCACCUUGUCGGGGUCUUCGAGCGACAAUGGCGAAAGCGAGGAGGAGUCGAACGACGAGGAUUUGGCAGAAGCAUACAAUCAACUUCUUAUUGAUUCGAAAAAGAUGGCCAAGCAUAAUAAGAAGCUGAGAAGGCGUUUAUUGGAACUUGAAGGCGUUGUGUGUGUGUGCUGGUUGUGUACGCAGGUUGAGGGAGAGAAAAGAGCAAUGCUCUUUUCCACAAGCAGCCUCAACUAUUCACUUUUCAGUUUAGUCCCUCAAAUCUUGAUAAGUUCCGUCGGAACCCUUCUGAAUGUCCGUUUGAGCUCAAAUUGACAGGUAGUCUCGGUUUAACGUACUGAGUAAGAAUAUAUCUUAAGUUUCCAGUUUCGACCCCGUUUUGGUCACGGAAAACUGUGCCGAACUGCAAUCUUUUAUCAGAUAGCUUUCGGAUUUUAUUUCUCACUCUACGGGUGUCAGAAAAAUAUGAAACCUCAAAUCUAGCCUCAUAAAAAUAUCUGACUAUCCUCCAAUUUUCAUAAUUUUCUGAGACUGUGUGCAUUUUCUGCUAAUUUACCUGUCCCGUCUCUCACAGAAAAUUCUAAAUUUUUUGUUUUCAUUCCGAUUUCAGCACAAGUCAUUUCUAACUCAUAUUUCACCUUCUCAAAUCCAAUAAAAAUAGUAUCUCAUACUAUUUUUAUUUAUUUUUAUUUAUUAUAUUUAAAUCGCUAUAUUACAUUACACCGCAACCUUACCGGAACAUUCAAAUGGCUCUCCAACCAAAUGAACACCGUAACCUCAUGAUUUUAGAAGUUCGUACCUUACAGAAUUAUUUUUCAAAUUUGAUUCCCUUUCCUCUCGAGAGCUUCUUCAUUGUCUUCAACUUGUUGUUUUCCUUUCACUUNNNNNNNNNNNNNNNNNNNNNNNNNNNNNNNNNNNNNNNNNNNNNNNNNNNNNNNNNNNNNNNNNNNNNNNNNNNNNNNNNNNNNNNNNNNNNNNNNNNNAUUGUUUUGUUGAGAGAGAUAUAUCGCCGCCAGCAUAGGUAAUUAGGAGUCUAAAAAUCACGAGAAUCGAAACAACAACUCCUUUAUACUAUUCGGAGGUGGGUAGGUGCAUUCGAAUUGUUGUUAUUCCUUUCUAUGUCUAUCUACCUUUUAUUGACCAUAAUGUCAAUAGUCAUUCAUGUAUGAUAGGGCUAAUUACAUGUGAAAGUUGGUUGGACUUCGAUUAUAUGUUUCUAAAAUAGAUGAAACAUAGUAAUUGAUAUGAACCAUAGAGGAACAUGUAUGUUGGACCCUAAUACUUGUGUGAAUUGCAGACCAGACUAUUAUGAGUAAAAGAGGUGCAUUUGACAUAUGAGACAAGAUUGACAUCGAAAAAAAUAGAUUUAAACAAGGUUUAACCAUUAGUGCAUAAUGACAGAAUACACUAAGUGGCCAAAUAUGAUGGUAAAGGUUGGAAACUAUCAUUAAGUUGUAGGAUAUUGUGGUUAGUGGCUUAAUAUAUCCUUAAGUCAGGAUUUGAUCGAUUACUCCGAUAAGUCUUGACUCGAGGGAGGUAGCUGCCCUCCCUCAAGCGGUGCGCUCCGGAGUCGAGUCACACGAGGGAUAGUGGCCCCCAAAAGACGGUCCCUCGAGUUUGCAGCGCUUAGAGCCUCCCCCGAACCAAAAAGGAUUUAGGCGUUUGUGAGUUUGGGGAUGUUAACAAAGUUAACCGGUUAAAGAUUGGAAUAAAAGCAAAGUAAAGUUAUGGAAAGAGCAUGCAUGCAAUAAUCAUUUUAUUUUAUUAUACUAUCCACUGACAGUUUUUCUUGCAGCAUAGUUUAGCAUUAGCAGAUGGCUUACUUAUUUCCUUUUCUUUGAAAUACUGUUAUGCCUAAAUAGACUAGUGGGUAAAUCGGCAGAGGUCGGUUGACCCGAACACACCACCUCGAGACAAACUUCCGUUGUAGUCUCACAAACACUAACCCUAAAGAUCGGAGCUACGAGCAGGGCGCCGGAGGAUCGAACAAGGGUUCGCGCAGUAGCAGUGUGGCCACCGGAGUACUUGCAUUUAGUGAUUCCCUUUUUGGUUCAUGUAUCAAUGUUUCUUUGUUGACUUAGAAUUGUAAAGUGUAAACAAAUCAGUUUAGUGUUUGGGUGGGAUGAUAAGAUGCAAAGAUAUUAUAAAUGAAAGCAAAAUGAAUGUAAUAAUUUUUAGUUUACUAGUAUUUGGUUUAAAUUGUAAUCAAAUAUUACGUAUAGUUGUAUGUUGCUAGCUUAGAGCUUUGCUUCCGUUGUUGGCUUGCCCUCGUGCAGCCUUGUAUAAUUCAAAUCUCUUUGUUUGAUUGCUUAAUUAUACUUUUGUUUAGAGCCUUUGGGCCUACGGACAGAGAAGGCCGCUGGCUACGGUUUGGCGGUCUGUUUGACGUUGGCCGAAUCCGACCAGAAUAGGAGGCCGGGGGAGCGGCGGCGUGACAUUAGAUGUUAAAUUUGAGGUUUGACUCAAUGGACAGUGAUUAAUAAGCUUAAGCAUAUUAUAACAGAUAUAUUCUAUUUUCUUAACUUUUUCUUUUCUGAGAACUAAUUGCAUAUGCUACUUCAAUAACUUUUUAUUUGCAAAAUGCAUUUACUAGUUGUUGUUGCUGUGAAAGCCCAGAUUUUAGAAAUAGCGCUAAGAAACCUAGUCCAUUCUUAACAAUAUUUCUGUAUCUUUUGAACAAUUGAAAUAAAUUUCAAUUUUAAUGUUGAGUAUGACGCCAGGUAUUGAAAUUUCUGAGAAUGGCAUAUUUUUCCUGUGAAACUGUUGAACCAUUAGAAAGUUUUAAUCUAUACACAUAGUUUCAUCAUUUAGUGGAAUGUGAUACUUUGUAGGACAUGAUUUGGGAUGAACAAUCAAAGUAAGGGUUUGAAAGGCUUUUAGAUAGGUGCGCUUGAGUGUAUAAACAAGUGUUAUACAAGAGUUAUUUAUCUUCCGAUGGAGUCCUGUUUUACUUGUAAACUCUAACACUCGGUUGAAAUUUUUUUUGAAGUGAUUAUUUGUAUCAUUCACAUUUGUUACCUAUAUUCUCUUUACUUUUUUUUGAAUUAGGCCAAACUUCUCAAUUCCUUCAUGUCGCAAACAAUAGUUUCACUUUAAACUUACAGUUGUAAUUAAAUUCUUUGGUUAGAAUAGUUUGAUAGUGUUAGAUAAUGGGCAAUUUCUAUAGAUUUGAGAAGGAGGCGGCGGAUGUCAUUAUUAUAGCCCAAUAAUGUAUUUUAUAGUUUUUGUGCUAAUUGGUGUGAAUAGAUGUAUUUUAUGGGGUGUAUCUUAUUUGGGCUUAUACCUAUUUGGGAAGGACGAUAUCUAAAGAUGAACAAAAAAUAGAAUAAGAAUGAGAGAUUUGAGAAUUUAUCGUAAGAUGCAUUAAAUGAAAAGUGAUAGAAUUGUGUGAGUCAAUUCGAGAUGCGAUAGGCGAAUUUUACUAUCUUUGUGGUAUUGGUUUAGAGACUAUUGGGUGGUUUAAGUGGUUUCUUCGCCAACAUGUUCUUUUGGGAGGAGCUUGUUUUGCAAACGCUGUUUCUUUAUACUUAUGUGUCAUUCAUUAGAAAAAGAUAGGACAAUUGCAAAUUAUUUGAUAGAAAUUAGGAGAGACUGUUUAUGCGGCAGUUUAAUUUAUGCCUAAUGGCCAAGUAUUGAAGUUGCAUGGUGAAGUUAGCCAAAUCACGCUGCAGCCCAAUUUUUCAAUGACUGGCACGGCAGAUUGAGUAACUGGAGAAGUUUUCAAGGUUCGUUAAGGUAUAAUAUUUUUAUUAUUUUUUAUGUAUUAUAUCAAGUGUAGACAAAUAGAUUUUUUUUUUAAAUUUCCAUCAAUUUUUGUUUUGUAGAAUUUGCUUUAGAGCACUAUGAUGGCGUACAUGUUUUAAGUUGAAAGAUUCCAGCGAGAAGGUAAAGUAAGAUAUAGAACAAGAAAAUCAGAUCUGUUGAACUAAUGUUUUAGGAGUGUGUUCCUCAGCUGUGUAUUUUGCACUUUUAUGAUAUAUAUGCCCGCUGGAGGGUUGUGCAAUGAUUCUCGUGUUGCUUCGAGAUUGCUAUUACUAGAACCAUACGGAUUACGAGUGCUGCAAGGUAAGUUUUUAUACGUAGUAAAUACACACACACACACACACACACAUAUAGUUAGUUAGUUAAUAAUUUUUAUCUAAUUCUUUUUUUUAACUUAAAGGUUGUUAUUAUUUGGUUGAUUUUGGAUAUACCAAUGCGGACGGAUUUCUUGCACCUUUUAAGGGACAACUAUAUCAUAUGCACGUGUGGUGGGUUGGGCACCGACCACAAUCAGUAGAAGAGUAUUUCAACAAGAAACACACCCAAGCUAGAAAUGUAAUUGAAAGAUGCUUUGGGCUUCUUAAGGGACGAUGGGCAAUUCUUAGAAGUAAUUCUUUUUUUCCGAUGAAAGCUCAAUGCCGAAUUGUAAUGUCAUGUGCUCUUCUUCACAACCUAAUUAGGAGGUAUAUGCAUAGAGAUCCAAUAGAAGAAGACUAUGAAGUAGAAAAGGAAGAGGAAACUUAUGAGGAAGAAGAUAUAGAGAAUGGAGUUGAAUUCAUUACAACAGUUGAGACAUCUGAUGAGUGGACCAACUUUAGAAAUACAUUAUGUCACGCCCCGAGCCCAAUCCUUUUGGCCGGUUCGAGCGCGUCAAACAGACGCCAAACGGACAGAGUCACCCCUGUCCGCCCAAGGCUCAACAACAAGUACAAAUAGAGUAUAAGAUUUGCACAUACGGAAGCAUACAUAAUGACUUGCACGAGGGCAAACAGUAGCCAAAGUGAAAGUACUAUCUAAUCAACAUACAAGUAAUAUGAUUACCUUUUAACCAUAUACAUGCAUACAAUUAAACAUUUACAUUCUCUCUUUAGCAUCAUUUCUUCUCUUUUACAUUACACGAUUUCUCACAAUAUAACUUCUUGCUUUCAAUAUAAAUUCUUUUACAACAUUCUUUAAGCAUCUAUAAUCAUCAAAUACAAAAGAUGAUCUACAAAGGGAAUGCAACUACAAAAUGUAAAAGUAUCUCGAGCGGUCUCUGUCUAGGACGCGAUACCCUUACCGUGAUCAUCCGCCGGCUCGCUCGGUCCCGGCUCUGUGGAAAUAGUGGGGUGAGAACUACAACAAAGUUUCCAGUGGGUUCGGCCCUGAUCUCACCGAUUUUUCUACUAGGUCUAAAUCAGGCAUAAUAGAAGAAAGAAUAGAUAGUAACCAGCUAACAAAUGCAGCUAAUAUGCCUGAACAAAUAAACUCAAUCAUAUGCUCAAUGAGAUGCUUAUGAUGAAUGCAAGUUCAUAUUUUCUUUACAUAAUCUUGUGGCUAACCCGUUGGGCCCUCAGCCCAUUGGGCAUUCAGCUUCCUCCCGUAUGGUUCCAUAACUCACUGACUCAAAAUCCCAAUUAUCGAGCCCUCAGCUUCUUCCCAUUGAGACCGUCCUUUGGAGAUUCCCUUUCCUAUGGUGACAACUCCGGAGCUCACCGCUCGAGGGGGAGCGACCUCCCACAAGCCAAGACUAUAGGCGAGUAUGAUCAAUCCUUAGCUUUAAGGAUUCUAAUGUUCAUGUGACCCUUAUCUUUAAGGUUUCUAUGUCACAAUGUCACUACUGUUCUUUACUUGCAUUCUUUAUCUUACACUAGUGUCAUAUACACUAACUUGUUCUUUAUACUCAUUCACUAAUGCCACAUUUGUAAGGUACCGGACUUCUAAAAUCAUGAGGUUACGGUGUCCAUUUGGUUGGAGAGCCAUUUGAAUGGUUCCGGUAAGGUUGCGGUGUAAUGUAAUAUACCGGAUUUAAAUAUAAAAAAUAGAAAUAAAUAAAAAUAGUAUGAGAUACUAUUUUUAUUGAAUUUAGAGAAGUGAAAUAUAAGUUGGGAAUGACCUGUGCUGAAAUCGGAAUUAAACAGAAGAUUUAGAAUUUUCUGUUGAAAACGGGACAGAUAAAUUAGCAGAAAAUGCACAGUCUCAGAAAAUUAUGAAAAUUGGCAGAGAUGUCAGAAAUAUUUUUAUGAGGCUAGAUUUAAGGUUUCAUAUUUUU